UACGAAGGGGCUAGCGUUGCUCGGAAUUACUGGGCGUAAAGGGCGCGUAGGCGGAUAGUUUAGUCAGAGGUGAAAGCCCAGGGCUCAACCUUGGAAUUGCCUUUGAUACUGGCUAUCUUGAGUUCGGGAGAGGUGAGUGGAAUGCCGAGUGUAGAGGUGAAAUUCGUAGAUAUUCGGCGGAACACCAGUGGCGGAAGGCGACUCACUGGCCCGGAUACUGACGCUGAGGCGCGAAAGCGUGGGGAGCAAACAGG
rnacentral:rRNA from 1 species